rnacentral:rRNA from 1 species
GACGAACGCUGGCGGCGUGCCUAAUACAUGCAAGUUGAGCGCUGAAGGUUGGUACUUGUACCAACUGGAUGAGCAGCGAACGGGUGAGUAACGCGUGGGGAAUCUGCCUUUGAGCGGGGGACAACAUUUGGAAACGAAUGCUAAUACCGCAUAAAAACUUUAAACACAAGUUUUAAGUUUGAAAGAUGCAAUUGCAUCACUCAAAGAUGAUCCCGCGUUGUAUUAGCUAGUUGGUGAGGUAAAGGCUCACCAAGGCGAUGAUACAUAGCCGACCUGAGAGGGUGAUCGGCCACAUUGGGACUGAGACACGGCCCAAACGCCUACGGGAGGCAGCAGUAGGGAAUCUUCGGCAAUGGACGAAAGUCUGACCGAGCAACACCGCGUGAGUGAAGAAGGGUUUCGGAUCGUAAAACUCUGUUGGUAGAGAAGAACGUUGGUGAGAGUGGAAAGCUCAUCAAGUGACGGUAACUACCCAGAAAGGGACGGCUAACUACGUG